UACCAGCACCCCGAGUGGUCGGGACGAUUAUUGGGCCUAAAGCAUCCGUAGCCGGUUCUGCAAGUCCCCCGUUAAAUCCAGCUGCUCAACAGAUGGGCCGCGGAGGAUACUACAGAGCUAGGAGGCAGGAGAGGCAAGCGGUACUCAGUGGUAGGGGUAAAAUCCGUUGAUCCAUUGAAGACCACCAGUGGCGAAGGCGGCUUGCCAGAAUGCGCUCGACGGUGAGGGAUGAAAGCUGGGGGAGCAAACCGG
rnacentral:rRNA from 1 species